CAAGAGAGAGAUGUUAGCUUACUCACCCUGGGACGUGUCAUAAAUGCGCUUGUGGAACAUUCUCCUCAUGUGCCUUACAGAGAUAGUAAGCUUACAAGGAUUUUGCGAGACUCCUUGGGAGGGAAAACAAAAACAUGUAUAAUUGCUACUAUUUCCCCAUCUGCUUAUUGUAUGGAAGAAACACUUAGUACAUUAGACUAUGCUAGCCGUGCAAAAAGCAUAAAGAAUAAGCCUGAGGCAAACCAAAAGGUUUCGAAGGUUGUUUUGUUGAAGGACUUGUACAUGAAAAUUGAUAGGAUGAAAGAAGAUAUUCGAGCAGCAAGGGAAAAGAAUGGUGUAUAUAUUUCUCAUGAAAGAUUUGCCAAGGAAGAAGCUGAAAAGAAGG